GUACGAAACUGGUGACAGGACGACGCCCCCUAAUUUUCUAAAAACAAGUGUCGACACAUUUCUCGAAUGGCAGAGAAGAGUGUUGACGUCUUGCAGCGCUAGAUUUCGAUAGUGUGAACAGCAUACAUCUGUCAGUCUUGAAUUUUUCUGGCUUUCGUCGUACAACUGGACGUGAAUGCACGGCGUACUGUACAAACAACAUGAAACUGACGCAUCUGAAAGGCCGAUGACGUGGUGGCAAUGGACAUCGAAAGGCCACAGGUGCUCACCUUGACGGUGCUAAAAUCAACAUCUAAGAAAAGAGGCGACGAAUAAAGAACAAAAUGGACCAAAAGUGAUCCUCACGUCGUUUCUUUUUGACAGCCCCGUCCUGGUUGGCCGUUUUGCUCAUCGCUUCGUUCUCCUUUUCACUGAGGGUCUCCUCCGUUCCAGGAACGACGCUCAUCACCGAUGGCUGCUCAGGUUUCGUCGGCUCCUCCGCAGUUUGAUGCCCGUCAUGGACUUGAGUGGCCAACUGGAAGAAUUGGUGCGCAGUUGGUGGUUCAUUUUGCCGUGGAUCGCGUAAGCCUCCAGCACUGGAUUGGGUGGAAGCGGUUGAAUAGAAUCAAUCGGAUAGGCUCGAUUUUGUUCUUCAUUGCACAAGUAUCCGCACGACUGGAAUUCCGUGCCGUUAUCGGCGUCCGUGUAGUACAUCAUGUACACGUUGCACAUCUCGUCGGACGACGACAGACCUAUUCAUCGAGCCACAAAUCUCAUUUUUGGAUGAUGGAAAUUCAAGGAAAAAAUCAGCGCCCACCUGCAUAAGUAAAGGUAUUUUUGCCGAGUGAACUGUAUGUGCAUCUCAUUAGAAUCUCGUCUCCUUUGGUCAUGGCGAAUUCGCGCGUUGUCGGAUAAAACGCCUGUGGCCAUUGCGGAUUGCCUUUGACCAUCAGCUCUGUCGCUCGCGUCUGUACACACAAGUAUGGGCGAAUUUAAAAAUGGGCGGAAGAAGAGAUCCAUGACAAACAGAGUAUACCUUGGGAUUGUACUUGUAGCUGGUGACGACCGUGCCCAGCCCGUGAGCGUGAACGCGGGCCGCAAACACGUGAAUAGGAACCGCCGUGUCGAUCGGGCAGCAAAUGUCGGAAUUGACAACUGAAUCCACGAAAAAUGGGAAAAUUGUUCAUCUAAUAUGGCUGGCAAUUCACUUGAAUGUCAUACCAGCUUGAUGAGGUGGGAUCUCGGGCAGGGCCAACAUUAACAAAAUGCCAGCAAUGUAUUUUUGCCUGAUCGAUGUAAGAAGUUCAAGGUUGUUCAUCGAAUGACCAUUCAAAAUAUUCACAGUGUCAGGUACGUACGGUUCACUGGUGAUCUCGAGAUCCAAUCCGGUGUAAUCCCGCACUCCUGGCGCCAGCUUGUUGGCGUAAUGCACCUGAAUGAUCAGGUACUUGACUCUGGAUUUGCCAGUGCCGCCAAUGCGGAAGCCAACUGAUGGAGGCAAACGAGUUCCAUCGGCGUUUUUGGCCCAGGCGUACAAGAUUCUCGUCGGUCCCGAACACGACACUUUGCCAGUUCCGUGAGAGCCACAUUUCCUUCGGGCAAUUUUUCAAAAUCAGAAACGAACGAAUAUGUGCCGUUCGAAAAAUAGAUCAAGAAAUUGCAGUUUGGGAAUGUUUACCAAGAGGGUGUGGGUGAGUCCGACAUGUCGCCAGCGCAUCCGCUGAGAAUCAUGUGGUGAGCGCGUUCGGCUGUCCCCUCCACCCGGAAUUGGGUAAUGUACAUUUCUUUCUCGGGUUUCAAUUUGAAUGCUGUGCAGAUGUAAUCGUCAUCCUGGGCAUUUCAUUUUUUGGUUAUCACUUCAUCGUCGAUAAACUGUACUGCGAUUGCAGUUGGCAAAGACUUACCACGGUGGGGAUGGCACCAGGCAUUCGCAGCUGGUAAGUGUUGGUGCCGGCCAAAGGUUGCGGCAUGUCGGCGAAUCCAUCCGAAUGGUUGACACCUCCGUACACAACGUCGAAAUCAAAGACAACGAUCAAGGAGAAACGGGAAAAGGCGACUGGUUUUUACUGCUUCGCAGUUGCGAGUCGGACGAAUGAUUGCAGCUUUAAAAAAAAAAAAACAACAAAAAAAAAAAAUCAAGGUAUAAUUUCAUUUUUGGUUGAAUCCAAAGUCAUUGUGCGCUCAAGGUGAACCGGCGGAACAUGAGGCUAUUGCUGGCCUUUUGCAAUGAACUCUCGGCUUUGAUGAUGCCCUGCAACUAAAAAACAAGGCAUUCCGGCCUUGGACCUUGAACGCAUCA